GUGGGAGGGGCUGUUUGUCCAGCUCUAUCAGCACCAGCGUGCCGAGGGAGGAGGGGCACACCACGUCGAAUUCACGAGACGCCUGCAAAGAGAGAGAGAGAGAUGGAGGAAGUGAGAGAUAGAUGGAGGGAAUGAAAGAAUGAGAUGGAGGGAGGGAGGGAGUGAGUGAGAGAGAGAGAAAGGGAAGGGCAGAGAGAGAAGAUGAGAGCGAGAGCGAGAGAGAGCAGAAUCUGGACCGUGUGAGAAAGCAAAUAACAAAGGCAAAUAUAACUAAUCCUGUACUACCAGUAUUAUUACUUAAGGGUCCAACAUACAGGCAACAAAGUCUUCAUGUCAUAUACACUAUAUGUGUAUGAACAUAUUGGGUGUGUUUGGGUGUGUUUUGAGUACAGUAUUUGAAAAAUGCAAAUGGUGCACCUCCUUGUCCAGAAUCCAACGGUAGAUGGGGAACUGGCAUGUGUCUCCCUCUGGCGUCGUCACGACAACCUUGGACGGGAACCAGGCGUCCUGGGGGAAGAGUGCGAGGGGCUGUUUGUCCAGCUCUAUCAGCACCAGCGUGCCGAGAGAGGAGGGGCACACCACGUCGAAUUCACGAGACACCUGUUGUCACAGACUCUGUUUUGGUGCAAGAUAUCCAAACAGGAUUUCACAAGUCUUGUAUAGUCACUAUAUGGAGUUAGUACUCUAUAUACACAAUACUGUACAGUAUUUUUUAAAUAGUAGGCAUGUCAGUUAAGAACAAAUGCUUAUUUACAAUGACGGCCUACACCGGCCAAACCCAGACGGCACUGGACCAAUUACGCACCGCCCUACAGGACUCCCAAUCACAGCUGGAUGUGAUCCAGCUUGGAAUCGAACCAGGAACUGUAGUGACGCCUCUUGCACUGAGAUGCAGUGCCUUAGACCACUGCGCCAGGACAGCCUCCAAAUCUUUCCAAAUACUUCCUACUUGCACUGAUGAUGCAACACCCAUUGUGCUUUUUUUUGGCAGGACACACACCGGUCAAUAUGUAUCACUAACUCGCUUCUUAUCGCAUAUCCUUCAUGGCAAAUUCCAAAGAAUAAGUGAGGCCAGAAGAGGCUGGUGGGAGGAGCUAUAGGAGGAACAGCUCAUCAUAAUGGCUGGAAUGGAAUCAAUAGAACGGGGUCAAACGUGGUUUUUAUGUUUCAUGUGUUUUAUGCCAUUCCAUUUACUGCAGUCUUUACAAUGAUCCCAUCCUCCUAUAGCUCCUCAUACCUGUGUGAGGCCCUCUGCUGAUGGAAAAGGGUUGCCGAAUAACAUAGGCUACUGUAAAUAUACACUAAAGUGUGGAAAAGCAUUUUACUUUAAGCAGACCAAGUAGUGAUGGCCCUUUUUUUUUAACAUUCAAACGAGGCACUUUUACAUGGUAACAUCAGGAAGCAGAUAAGGUGCAGGUCAGGUCCAUUCUCUCCAAGUAUUCUCUAAGUAUUCUCCUUCGGGGAUUUCAUAGGUUUUGUUGACAGCUAACAGGUAGAAGUAGUUGAGAUAGUAGGGGAGAUUAAAGAAAGCGAUCUAGGUCAGAAAGUGGCACAGCCGGGAACUGAACCCUUGCCUCCAGAGACAAAGGGUAUUAGAGCACUACCACGAGACCAGCCCCCAGGACAGCAUCUCAAAUAUCAAAAUACCUUUUAUUUAACAUUUACGUCUUCUUAGCAACCAAAAAAACAACAGAUUCGAUAACAACCAAAAUAUGAUAUCUUUCCCACAACGUCUACAUUUCGUCACAAAGUACAUCUUUACCUGGUUGCAUGACGUUUUCUCAAACAGAAAGUCAGUUGAAAACCAGAAAAUUACCAUUUUUGCCCACUGGGACAUCUAUUUGGGUCGUAACAGGACAAAUCCCACCUACUGUAUGCUGCCUUUCUGUUCAGAAAUGGAGUUGCAGGGACUGCAGUAUUUACAUAUGCAAUCUGUAUAUAACCUCACUGUGUACAUAAUACAGGGAUUCCUGCAGGACAAACACAGGCACAGGCACAGGGUAGACAGGGUCAGGAAGGAGGUCAAACCAAUAUAUGUCUUUAUCAUGGAGCUAGGUUUACAGUGAGCUUAGUGUGUCUACAGUAUGAGGCCCAUAUGGUUGUAAUAAUAGAUUUUAAAGAUUAAACUUUGUAAAUACACUAUCUUCACGUGAAAACACUUACAUACGCACCGAGCAGUGAUAGCAGACAUGAACUGUGAGUAGUACAAUGCUUUUGAUGCAACACCCCCUGUAUGUCAACUAUCAACGCAACCCUUGAGUUCUCUUUUAUGAUGAGACGGAAGACCUCUAGAUUUUAUGAAUGUGACCUCUUCCCUUAUCUUCAAAUGAUACACCCUUUAUCUCUUAUGCAAACAGAAGUCAGACACUUUGUAGAGUGAGGAGCUGAUCUCAGUCAUUUUAAUGAUGUGACAUCUGAGCACAUACAUACAGUACAACGUAAGAAUAAAAAAAAGAGGGACUGUUACAUCAAAUUAUGAAAUCUAAAUGUAAAACAAUAUACAGAAACAUAAGCAAAUAUUUUCUAAAUUUUGUUACGAUAAGUUUAUUAAAAUAAAAAGAAUGCCCGUUGGUAGACGAUGAA